rnacentral:rRNA from 1 species
GUAGGGUGCGAGCGUUAAUCGGAAUUACUGGGCGUAAAGUGUGCGCAGGUGGCUUCGCAAGUCGAGUGUGAAAUCCCCGGGCUUAACCUGGGAAUUGCGCUCGAAACUACGGAGCUGGAGUGUGGCAGAGGGAGGUGGAAUUCCACGUGUAGCGGUGAAAUGCGUAGAGAUGUGGAGGAACACCAAUGGCGAAGGCAGCCUCCUGGGCCAACACUGACACUCAUGCACGAAAGCGUGGGGAGCAAACAGGAUUAGAUACCCUGGUAGUCCACGCCCUAAACGAUGAUGACUAGUUGUUGGAGGAGUUAAAUCCUUUAGUAACGCAGCUAACGCGCGAAGUCAUCCGCCUGGGGAGUACGGUCGCAAGAUUA